UAAAGUGGCAGAGUAUAGACAC
rnacentral:miRNA from 1 species